rnacentral:tRNA from 1 species
GAGGGUAUGGCUCAGUGGUAGAGUGCAUGCCUAGCAUGCAUGAGGUCCUAGGUUCAAUCUCUAGUACUUCCA